GUUAGACAUUAAGCCAAAGCACAAUUACAGGUUAAAUAUAAUCACAAAGAUGUUUUAUUAAAUAGAAACCUACCAUGGAGGCAGGUCAGAGUUCAUUGAUGCCCUCUUUUGGAAAUAAGCAGAGUGGAAAAAAGGAGCUUCUGUUCCAGGUGAGAAAUAAUGAAGACUAGAAGAAUUUGCAUGCUGCAAGUGACUUUCUGUGACCAAAUCAGUAGAUUUUCCAGAUUGAGAAAAGAAAAACAAAGUGCCAAAAAAGAGAAAAAAAAAUCAAGAUGCUCAGUUAAACUUUAAUUUCAGAUAAUGAACACUUUCUUUUAACUGUAAGAAUAUCAAAUAUUGUAGGAAACAUACUUAAGCUGAGAAACUGCUUGUCUAAAAUUCAAAUUUAACUUGGCAUCAUGUAUUUAUCUGACAAUCCUACAAAUAGACAAAUGUGAAAAAGAAAGACAUAGAGGUUGGAAACCCCUGACACUGGUGGGUCACACAGAGAAUAAAAAUGAAAUCAAUAACAAACCAAAGGGUCUCACUACAUUGGUUACUUACACAGACUAGUAUCACAAUGAGAAAAUACAAUUACUACUCCAAAUGCUGCUGCCAGAAAACAUUCUAGAUUUCCUCAAAGUUGGUUUUGGAAAUGUUUUAAGAAAUUUUGUUCACCAAAGUACCUUUUUAGUUAUGUAGGUAUCAAAGAUAAAUACUACCACAAACAUAGGAUGAGCUUAGUACAAUGGGAGAAGGAGUAUAUGCACACAAGUUUUUUUAAUGAAUACGAUGACUGUAAGGUCCAGGUCACCUCCUAAGUCUAAGCUGUCAGCCUCAAAGAUUUUGGUUGCUUUCUAACUUUUUUUCACUGUGGUGUUUCCUAGCUUUUCCUCCUGAACUUUAGGAGAAGCAGGAGGGUGUGUGAGGGACUUCCCUGCUACCAGGGUUUACAGUUUUUCUCUGGAUCCAUAAAGGGCAUUCAGGGUUGCCUACAGAUAUGAGCAGACAGAUAAAAAUAAAGCCAUCUGAAUUCUGGAGGAUGAGAGAAAAUUCUCUCAAAGGAUGGAGGUAUGGAGUGUGGAGAUGUGCAGUGUAAAGUAGAAAAGAGAAGGGGAAAGAAUGAGGAGUCAAGAUGUGAUGUCUCCAAAAUUCUAGUGUUAUUUCACAGGAGGCAGAACCCGGGGCAGAAGUGUAAAGCCAGUCAUACCAUGACUGCGUCUGGCUUUAGAGUACAUAAAGUCUUCAGCUUCCUACAGAUUCUCACUUUAAUACCUCAUAGUGUGUAAUUUAAAAUGAUUAAAAACAGCUUACAUAGCAACUCAAAUUCUACACAGUAUCACAGUUACUGUAUGCACACAUACACAACUUUACAGGCUUUGAGAUUGUUCUAAACAAUUUUCCCAACCAAAACUCUGGUUGCUGAGCAAUUUCAAAUAUGGAGAAAUUGGAAUGGAUUGAUUACAUCAGUUCUGUUGUAAGUGAGGAAGAGUAACUUAUGAAAUAUACCCUCAUAAUAUAAGCUUAACAAGUAUGAAAAUACAUGGAGACAUGCCAACUCACUGACACCUUUCAAACACUAAGAAAUAGAAUUCAAUGAUUCAUUUAUUAGAAUAUAAAAGGUUAAAAAGUUCCUGUCAUAGUUAAGGCUUUCUUAAGCUGAAAAAUUUUAAUUGUCUAUCAAUUGUAAAAUGCACAAAUAGCCUGAAAAGAGUUUCCAGGUGGUGUAUUUUGAACAGAUUUCCUUUUAAUAUGCUACACGUGUCUAACAAUAGUUCAAAUACUUUCAUUUCUCUGUCAUUUAACAAACUUAAUUUCAGUCUUCAAUUUCAGGUACACGGAACCCUAUUUUAAUGUCAAUUUUGGAUAUCUGCUGAAUGACUAAAGUCUAUAGCUCUGUGCAAGACAAUUAGCCUGACAGAAAACACAGUAAGAAGGCUGUUUAUCAGACAUCACACAAAUAGGAUCUGCAUGUGCUAGAGAGGAAAGAUGUUUCUGUUUGUAAGGUCAUUUAUAGGAAUCCCAAUAGUGCACGUUUCAAAAGAGAGAGGAAGCAUUAUCCAAUGACUUUUCAUGCAAUUGGGAAAUACACUGAAAUAGGGAGAAACCUAGACAACUUAUUGCAUUUGAAUGCUGUUUUCCAGCAUUAACAAAAAUGUUGUUUUUUUGUAUAAUUCCUAUGAUAAUAGAAUGUUAAUCUGUAUGACUUUAUUUGCUUGCCAUAUUCAAGCAUUUUGUGCAUAUUUCAAUGCACUUUGCUAUUUUGAGAGCAAAGAAAAUUAGUCUAGCUAUUAACAUCAAGCUCAAAGGAGUACAAGGAUGCUAUUUCAUGAAACAUCCUAAUAUUGUUUAUUCUACUUAUGUUGCUUGAACAGCUGGACAUUCUAAACACCAAGAAAGAAAAGCAAAUAAGAGGGCCGGGGAUUUAGCUCAGCGGUUCAGCUGCCUGCCUCGCAAGCACAAGGACCCAAGUUUGAUCCCGGGUACCAAAAAAAAAAAAAAAAGCAAAUAAGAAUCCUGGGUGUACUGCUACUACUUUGCAUAGAAUUAAAACUCUAGGUACCAUGCUGUCAUCUGUUGAACAAGUGGCAGAAUCUUCUGAGCAGAGAAUGGAUAAGGCCUAAAUCCAGUUCUGGUGGUGAUGUGAAAAUGGAGAGGUAUCUACAUUCUUUCUAAAAGCUCAAGAUGAAGAAGAAAAAUGGUGGGGUCAAAGGUAAGUGUUGAAGUUAUUUUUAUUCUAGACUAGCAAUAUGGGGAAAAGUGAAGGUCAAGUACAAGGAGAAAAGUGUCCAGGGCACUUUAUUAUGCCUAAGUACCAGUUGGUCACAGGUAAACUGAACCCUCAGGUCUAGAGAAGCCCUAUGAUUUAGAGGUAAAGCUGUGGAGAUGUCUGGUUCUUUCUUCCAAGUGGUUUGGAAAGCAUAGGGGCCAUUUCACAGGAGUCCCAAAUUACUAGUGUUGCUAUGUAGUGUACAUUCAAGAAACAGAUUUCAGCCUAAUUUAAUGCCAUGAUUUAUAAUUCUAGAGGGUUCUUCACAUUGCUAUAGACGGAAAUUCCAGAUGUAAUUAACUUUUGCUAACUUUGAGUAUACUCAUGAUGACCUUUGGUUUUCAAGUUCUGAAAAAAAUGCUUGGCUCCUGUGAUAUAUCCAUUAACUUCCUCUCUUUAGCAGAUAAUAUAUACACAUUCUCUCAAGAACUACACUAUAGCUGAAUCGUUACAAGACCAGAAGCACUGCAAAUAUCUUCCUGAUACAGACAGAACCUUUACUUGGCACACCGCACAGCAGACACGUAACACUGGCAGUUUAAAAAAUGAACCACAGUUUAACUCCUCAAGUGUAAGGCCCAAGUUCAAAACUAGCAUAUCCAUUAAUCUAGUUAGUAUGAUGGCAACGACACAACAUACAACCAACCACAGUCAGGUAGUGGUUUAUCUUUUUAAUGAAGCUAUAAAGCUUUCCACAUCUAUUCCAUAUUAACUCUUACUUAACUAAAAAUUACAGCUGUGUUUAUCAUUUUAAACUAUGUCAGGGGUGAGGGCAAAGUAAUACACACUUCACAGCUACUGAAAGUGACAAAAAUGGCAAUUUCUUCAACCCUUUGUUACACACAGCAAAAAAGAAGAGAGAUAGGAAAAAAGGCCUCAAUAAAUAUCAAAUUUUGAAGCUUUAUAUGAAAUUCUAGUGCUAUUAAACACGCAACCAAGACAAAAACACCCAGCCUGGGUCACUGAAACUUCAAUAGAAGCAACAGAGGCCAAUUCUUGAUUUAGCUUUGAGAGCCCAUGGAAAAUUCAGCUACAAAAUUCAAACAAACUAGCGUGAAUGCUUAGUUCUAGCACUGAACUUAAGCCAAAAAAAGAAAAAAAAAAAAGAAAAGGAACAGAAAGGGAAGGAAAGAAAGGAAGAAAGAAAGGUGUGUAUUUUGACAGCCUAUUUCUAGAUUUUUAGGAAAAGUGACUAUUUUGUUUCAUUUCUGGAGACUGGAGGAGGUCUCAGCUUAAUUGGCCUGCAUUAAAAACCCCAUGAAAACCCCAAUUAGUUUCCAGGACUUUAAAAUGAAAUGGUAAAUGGUAUCACACUGUUUUUCCACCAUUUUAUAUUGCUUUUGCUCCAAGGUCGAGGAGAUGUAUAGCAUGUCAAGUAAAUAAAGUAAUAUACUUAAUUCAAUAUUCAGUUAAGGUGAACAGGGCAAGUGUAAGAACCGUGGCAGACAAUUUCUUCUUAAGUGUCAGUGUGCACUUGGCAAAUAUUGAUUAAAACAAGCAGUACUUUCACAAAAAAACCCAAUAUGAUAUUUCUCUAUCUUCAUUUAGAAAAAUAACUGAAAGGGCUUUGGUUUUAAUUUUUGUUCUCCUUGUCUAAAUAUAUUAAGAAGUUUGAAGAAG
ensembl:lncRNA